UGGCGGACGGGUGAGUAACGCGUGGGUAACCUGCCUCAUACAGGGGGAUAACAGUUAGAAAUGACUGCUAAUACCGCAUAAGACCACAGCACCGCAUGGUGCAGGGGUAAAAACUCCGGUGGUAUGAGAUGGACCCGCGUCUGAUUAGGUAGUUGGUGGGGUAACGGCCUACCAAGCCGACGAUCAGUAGCCGACCUGAGAGGGUGACCGGCCACAUUGGACUGAGACACGGCCCAA
rnacentral:rRNA from 1 species